rfam:Triticum aestivum genome assembly, contig: Triticum_aestivum_CS42_TGACv1_scaffold_223021_3B
UGUGUACUCCCUCCGUUCCAAAAUACUUGACUUUCAUUUGUCCAAAAAUGGAUGUACCUAUAUACUAAAACAUGUCUAGAUACAUAUAUAUUUUGACAAAUAGAAGGCAUGUAUUGUGCAACGGAGGGAGUAGAAU